rnacentral:rRNA from 1 species
GGCGCCCUACGGGGCGCAGCAGUGGGGAAUAUUGGGCAAUGGGCGCAAGCCUGACCCAGCAACGCCGCGUGAAGGAAGAAGGCUUUCGGGUUGUAAACUUCUUUUCUGAGGGACGAAGAAAGUGACGGUACCUGAGGAGUAAGCCACGGCUAACUACGUGCCAGCAGCCGCGGUAAUACGUAGGUGGCAAGCGUUAUCCGGAUUUACUGGGUGUAAAGGGCGUGUAGGCGGGACUGCAAGUCAGAUGUGAAAACCACGGGCUCAACCUGUGGCCUGCAUUUGAAAC